AUGCAGUUGUGCUUCUUAAGGAAAUCUACCUUGAUGUUUAGAAAUUUAUACCGAAAAGCAAGACAAAUACUGAUUAAGAAAUGUAUUUUUUUUUCUUCUAGGUUUUCCCACUCAUCUUCUUCUGGGGCAGCAGACUGUAAGCCCCGACACGAAGUCCAGGCCCUCCAGUAUCCCAUCACCCCCUGCGACUAUCCAAGCUGUCACGGCAGGCUGGGCCGCGGACGUCUGUGCCAGGGCGCGGCAGGACUGGAUACGGCUCCUCCUCCUCCUCCAAGCUGCCCGUAUGUGAAGCUUCUUGCCGUUAGCCGGAAGGAUGCUUCAGUGAGGACAGGUUUGUCAGUUUGAGAGCGAAGCGCUUAAACCAUGUAAUACCUAGUAAGCACGAGGAACAGUCAAGCUGUCGCAUCUGAAUUAACAACGUGAGUGUCAAAGUUUUGACGGUGUGUUGUGCGAUUCUGCAGAAGCACAUUGCCAGCAGAUGGUACGGCUCACAUCCAGACCUGACCUGAGCUUUUAGCACUUCUCAAAACUGAAAUUCUGCUUCAGCUCAAGGAAAAUUUAAUUGGGGGAGAGAUUCGAUAUGCUCGAAUUUGAUUACGAGACUGACAGUUUUAUGUAAUCAGUUUUGCAAGAACACUUAACAAGAACAACAGCACAAUUUUUACUAUCUCUGAAGAAAAAUAUUUGUGGGGCCAUUUCCAGGUGCUCUAUGUAAAAAAAAAAAACAUAUUUGAGCCUCUGUACUCUGAGAUAUUUAAGGCUUUAUUUAAUUUAGGUCAUAAAGUUCACUCUAGGGUUUUAGCAGCUACUUGUUUGUAUCUAAUUUGGUUGCACCGUUAGUUUGUAAGGCAGAAUGAAGCUAGUAAGUGGCAUAAUCGGACAUUAUACCUUUAUUGAUCAAUUAGUAGUGUGGUAUACAUGGCAUUUUAUCAUAUCACGUUUAGCUUUAUUUAACUGUAAAUGGUUAAAAAAAAUCUAUAAAUACUAAUACAGUUAACUGGAAAAAAUAACAUUUAUUAAUGUAAAUGUAUUUUAAUUGAAUUCAAAAAAUUAUGCAUAAUCUAAUUAUAUAAAAGUUAUAUGUUUAAAUAGUUUAGUUAAAUAUUUAAAUAAUAA
ensembl:lncRNA